rnacentral:tRNA from 1 species
CAAAAAAUAGUUUAAAAAAAAUAAUAAUUUUGGGGAUUAUAGAUAAUUUAAAAAAUUUUUUUUGA